UUGUAACGCAUCACUGCACCACGUUGCACAUUCAAGUAGCCAUAUUUUGUUUGAUUAAAUUAUCUUCGAUAAGAAAAUUAAGAAUGAAGAUUAUGACGGAUCAGGCUAUUUGCUCAAAAGCUAUUUUCAAACCGGAAACAGUGAUUGAAGUCAGAAGUCAAUCAUUCUCCUCUGGUAGAAAACAAAUUUCAAACGCUAAUUCUCAGAAAUUAGAGUGGUUUACUACAAUUGGAUUCGGAAUUGUGGCUCUGGUGUUACUAACAGGGACUUACCAUACAGUAAAUAAGCUGGAUGAGAUUUCUUCAGAAUUAAGGGAUACGAUGAGAGAAAUAAAGAAAGAAUAAAGGGAAGUGAUUAAACCUCCACCUCGGUACGAAUCUACCACGCAAAGUUAUUGGAAUGAAGUUGGUUGGUUUCUUUCAAAAAUCGCUCAUGGCGAGUUCACACAAUCUGAACUUGAGAAGAUAAUUACAAAUAUUAUGCAAGAUACCGACGAGGAAAUGGAUGCCUCUGAGAUAAAGAAAAACGUGGAACUUGUCAUGAGUCAGGUCUACGGCAAGGACCAAGGCUCAUGAAAACUGAAAAUUGACAUCAUCAACGCUAUCAUCGAUUUGACGAUAUAGCAGCGUGUCUAUUUUUGUCAUACAUUAUUGUCAUACAUACAUUAUUGCAUGAUGUAUGUAUGCGUAUUACAUAAUUUAAAAAAAUCUCUCCACGAUAAUUCAUACUUGGAUUAAUCACAGACUGUUUAGCUAUGGCAUAUUUAUGUAAUUUCAAUGUGUACAAAAAACCUGAUUAAACUGUGUCACUCGAUCAUACACUUUAAAUCCAUGUCACAUAGGCAAUCCUUCAUCGUGGAUCUUAUUGCGAACGAACAGCCCGUACUUUUCUGAUCACCAUAUUCCCGAAUUAGAUACUUUUUGAAGUGAAAACAAUUUCCCAAUUCAUCAACACUCUUGGUAGUACAUAAAACCAGACAAAGAACAGUCAAUAAAGGACAUUGGAUGAAAAUAGAGACGAUGAAA